CCCAGCUCAGCCUCACACCCCAGCCCGGGGCCUUUGCAAACAUCAUGGACACUUUAACCUUGUAGGACAUCCUAUCCCAAGCUGUGGAGCUUUGCAGGAUGAUCCUGGCUGGAAGCAGAAGCAGGUGGCUUCAUUGCGCCAGACAGCCCCACCGUAGCCUGGGCCCUGAGCUUCUGCCUACCAGGCUGUCAGCAACAUCUCAGCAACAGGCUCCAGCCAGUUGGCACAUACCUGGCUCAGCUCUACAGAGCUUUAUCUCUGCGGACCUGGAGCUGCUGGUCACCAUGGAAACAGAAGCUUUUGUUCACCACUUCCUCUUCUCUUUUUCUCGCUCCCCACCCCUCGUCUUUCCUUCCUCUCCUCACACCCACUUGCCCUCCUCUCUACUUUCUUUCCUCUAUUUUUAUUCCUAAUUUUCUAUCUCACUUGCCCUGAUUUCCUCAUCUAUUUAUUUAAAACUUAUUUAAAUUUUAUUACGUAGCUUCCUUAGCCAUCUUUAAUUCCCUUUGUGGGAACAAGGUGCGGAAUACAUGCGUAUAUUCAUUCAGAUGUAUGCACAUACACACCUACGCACAUAAACACACUUAUGCAAUAAUUCCAGUGCUCUUUUGCCAAGCCAAUGCCCCCUAAACAAUCAUUAGGGAAAGAAUACAGAGUGGUGAGACAUAUAUUCUAGCCUUGUUAUUCACCAAAUGCUACUUGGAGAAUACAUAUUCUCUUUUGAGUUUAUCCUGAGACUCCGCACUUGGAUAAGGCUGCACUUCUUCGGCAUAUCUGUGUAUAACUUCAAACAGCCAGGCUUUGACUGCUCCUAUCUUAAUAAACAUAGCUAUCAGUCAUGUUUAGCUCAAAAUACCCACAGCACAUCUUUUAUUUUAUGUAUAUACACACAACCAAUCCAGAAUCUUCCAAGAAUGCCUCUGCCAAACUCCACACUCAUUAAUCAAAUCAAGGCAGAGAGCCCAGCAGCCUCCUAGAGUAAGAGCUACUAUGCAGAUUUAGAGCCCUUCAUCUCUGCAGAGUAGAGCCCGGGGAUCCAUUUCCAUCGCUAAGCACUCUUUCAGCAGAGAACUACCCGUGUGGAUGAGCUUUGGAGGAGUCUGGAGUAUGACUACAAAGAGAGGUAAAUCCACAA
rnacentral:lncRNA from 1 species